GAAGAUUCUGAACACUCUGUAGCCAGCACAGCGAGUUCCCAACCCGACCUGUGCACCUCUGACUGACCCAGGUAUCCAGGGAAAGGAGUUCUACCUGAAGCUCUCCUGAGUCUGAAGAUGAACCGAGCUUGAGCAGACCCUUGGCCUUGGUUCUGGUCCCCCUGGUAUGACUCCACUUACAAGAUCCACUCUGGUGUGAACCUAGUACAUCCAGCCGUAAAACGAGGAACUUCCACCUGCUCAAACCCAGCAUGACAUGUUCCUAAGUAUUCUCUACUCCAGAGCAGAGGCUGCUGCCUCUGCACAGAUUCCUCUGCUGCAACCCUGGAGCUCUGGGAAGAGCAGCUGAGCUGACUUAUGUGGUGCUGCCAACACCAUCUGCUCUGAAGCAGAAAGACUACUUAAUAGGCAAAAGCAGCUGCCAGUUUAGGCUUCCAUGUACUCUCUCAGUUCCCUCCAGGUUGACCUGGUGUGACCACCCUUUCUAGGACUCACCAAAGAAUUCAUCUAUUCAUCCAAUCAACUGAGCACAUGCCAUGUACCAAGCAAGAACUGGGCAUGCCAUCGUGAUAAAAAAUAGACACAGCUGCUGUCUUCUUAGUGUUUCCAGUCUUAAAGGGAAACCAGAUCUUAAGCAAACAAGUCAUCAAACACAGACCGUGUUAAAUGCUAUGAAGGAAAGGUAGAGGCUGGUAGGAGAAUGGCAAAGGGCUUAACCUAGGCCAAAGCUCAGAUAUGGUCUCUGAGGAAGUUCCUAGCUGUGGAACUUUACUGUAGAGAAGUCCAGUGGGCUGACUGAAGGCUUUAGAAGAAAGAGGAUUGUCUCUAGUAGAAGGAAGAGCAAGAGCAAAAGCUCUGUGACUGGAGGGAACAUGGUGAACUCCAAAGUCUCCCAACAACUAACAGACUGAUCUUGGGCUGUGCCUGGAUGCUGAGACUCUUCCUUGGGGAUAUAUAUAUAUAUUCCUUACAUUAUUUGGUCAAAUAAAGAGCAAUAG